rnacentral:rRNA from 1 species
GGAGCAACGCCGCGUGAACGAAGAAGGCCUUCGGGUCGUAAAGUUCUGUUGUUAGGGAAGAACAAGUACCAGAGUAACUGCUGGUACCUUGACGGUACCUAACCAGAAAGCCACGGCUAACUACGUGCCAGCAGCCGCGGUAAUACGUAGGUGGCAAGCGUUGUCCGGAAUUAUUGGGCGUAAAGCGCGCGCAGGUGGGUCCUUAAGUCUGAUGUGAAAGCCCACGGCUCAACCGUGGAGGGUCAUUGGAAACUGGGGAACUUGAGUGCAGAAGAGGAAAGUGGAAUUCCAAGUGUAGCGGUGAAAUGCGUAGAGAUUUGGAGGA